UAGUGAGUGGAGGCUAUGUGGUUUUGUC
rnacentral:piRNA from 1 species